AUGUACAUUUUACGUGUCAUCGUCCGCCCAGCUCCUUCACGCCGCCGUUUGACCACAUUCCGCAUCCUGGUGAGAGUCUUCAUCGGCAUCUGCACUUUCGUAGGCGCCCUCUCUCUCCUCAUCUGGCUCAUCUACCGUCCCCGGACGAUCCUGAUCGCCGUGGACUCGGCCACACUAUGGCGCUUCAACGUGAACUCGACGACAAGCCCCCCGGUGCUGACCUUCAACCUCACAGCCGGUGUGUCCGUCUCGAACCCGAACAAACGGGUAUCCAUCUACUACGACCGGCUGCAGGUGGAGGGAUUCUACCAGGAAGAGCUGUUCGGCCGUGCCGCCUUGCCGCUGUCGUUCCAGGGCGUCCGGCGGACUGACGCGGUGCGAGCCAUGCUCCAAGGGAGCUCCGCCGGAUACUUCGAUAAUGCGACAGGAAGUGGAACGGGUGUCUUCCCCGUGGACCUGUGGGUCGUUGGCACCGUGCGGUAUAAGUUUGGCGACCUGAUGACAACGUCGGCGAGCUCACUGUCGGUGAAAUGCCCACUUGUGCUGCAGCUGAUGGAGGCCUCAAGCAGGGUCGAGUGUAUUGUGAUCAGCUUUUGA
rnacentral:rRNA from 1 species